rnacentral:sRNA from 1 species
GCUGGGAAUGGUGGCAUGUGCCUGUAGUAUAGCUUAUUCAGGAAGCUAAAGCAGGGGCAUGGCUUGAGUCUGGGAGUUCAGCGCAGCCUAGGUAACAUAGUGAAACCCUGUCUAAA